UAGAGAGUAGCAUAGUUGGGAGUGCAGAGGUUUUUGAUUUCUCAGGCACAGGUUCGACUCCUGUCUUUUUAA
rnacentral:tRNA from 1 species